rnacentral:rRNA from 1 species
AUGAACGCUAGCGAUAGGCCUAACACAUGCAAGUCGAGGGGCAUCACAAAGAGUAGCAAUACUUUUGGUGGCGACCGGCGGAUGGGUGAGUAACACGUAUGCAACCUACCUUCUACAUUGGGAUAACCCGUUGAAAUUUGGAUUAAUACCUCAUAGUAUAAUGACUCGGCAUCGAGAUAUUAUUAAAGUCACAACGGUAAAAGAUGAGCAUGCGUCCCAUUAGCUAGUUGGUAAGGUAACGGCUUACCAAGGCGACGAUGGGUAGGGGUCCUGAGAGGGAGAUCCCCCACACUGGUACUGAGACACGGACCAGACUCCUACGGGAGGCAGCAGUGAGGAAUAUUGGUCAAUGGACGCAAGUCUGAACCAGCCAUGCCGCGUGCAGGAUGACGGUCCUAUGGAUUGUAAACUGCUUUUGUACAGGAAGAAACCCUUGCUCGUGAGCAAGAUUGACGGUACUGUAAGAAUAAGGAUCGGCUAACUCCGUG